GUGAGGAAUAUUGGGCAAUGCCCGCAAGGGUGACCCAGCAACGCCGCGUGGAGGAUGAAUGUCGUAAGAUUGUAAACUCCUGUUAGAGGGGAAGAAUAGUACCGGUUGGACCGGUAUAUGACUGUACCCUCAGAGAAAGCCCCGGCUAACUACGUGCCAGCAGCCGCGGUAAUACGUAGGGGGCAAGCGUUGUCCGGAUUUACUGGGUGUAAAGGGCGCGCAGGCGGGAUAAAAAGUCAGUGGUGAAAUCCUACAGCUUAACUGUAGAACUGCCUUUGAUACUUUUAUUCUUGAGUGCGGGAGAGAGAGACGGAAUUCCAGGUGUAGUGGUGAAAUACGUAGAUAUCUGGAAGAACACCAGUUGCGAAGGCGGUCUCUUGGUCCGACACUGACGCUGAGGCGCGAAAGCGUGGGGAGCAAACA
rnacentral:rRNA from 1 species